UACAGAGGGUGCGAGCGUUGUCCGGAAUCACUGGGCGUAAAGCGCACGUAGGCGGCUUGUUAAGUCAGGGGUGAAAUCCUGGAGCUCAACUCCAGAACUGCCUUUGAUACUGGCGAGCUUGAGUUCGGGAGAGGUGAGUGGAACUGCGAGUGUAGAGGUGAAAUUCGUAGAUAUUCGCAAGAACACCAGUGGCGAAGGCGGCUCACUGGCCCGAUACUGACGCUGAGGUGCGAAAGCGUGGGGAGCAAACAGG
rnacentral:rRNA from 1 species